rnacentral:rRNA from 1 species
UGGGGAAUAUUGGACAAUGGGCGCAAGCCUGAUCCAGCAAUGCCGCGUGUGUGAAGAAGGCCUUCGGGUUGUAAAGCACUUUUAUCAGGAGCGAAAUACCACGGGUUAAUACCCUAUGGGGCUGACGGUACCUGAGGAAUAAGCACCGGCUAACUUCGUGCCAGCAGCCGCGGUAAUACGAAGGGUGCAAGCGUUAAUCGGAAUUACUGGGCGUAAAGCGUGCGUAGGCGGUUAUUUAAGUCUGUUGUGAAAUCCCCGGGCUCAACCUGGGAAUGGCAAUGGAUACUGGAUAGCUAGAGUGUGAUAGAGGAUGGUGGAAUUCCCGGUGUAGCGGUGAAAUGCGUAGAGAUCGGGAGGAACAUCAGUGGCGAAGGCGGCCAUCUGGAUCAACACUGACGCUGAAGCACGAAAGCGUGGGGAGCAAACAGGAUUAGAUACCCCUGUAGUCC